UCUUCUCUCUCAUAUAAUCAUAUAAUUAUAUAAUUUUUUAUCAUCUUUCUAUCGUUGCAACUGUCGGACUCCAUGGCCAUUAGAUUUUUCUAUCGAUGAAGAAAAUCUCGAAGUUUUAGAUCCGGGAUAGAGGAUUAAAGCGGAUCUUUUCGAGAUUCACCAUUCAGAUAAAGGUGAAAGCUGAAACAGAUUGUUUUGGUUGGACUCGAUAGUUGCCAGAAACACGAAGAAUUUGAUUUUCUAUUUUUACGAGUUUAGAAUUUUAGACUUAUGUUAUUUUAGACUUCCGCUGUAGACAUGUAAUUUUGAUGGUUGAUUUUAGAGUAAAUCGUAUUUUUUUUUAU